rnacentral:lncRNA from 1 species
UUGCAGAUGGCGUUCCCUCGCAACAAGUGCGCCAGAACGGCCGCCGCGCGCGCCGUCGCCGGAGCGCUCGGGCCGAAAAGAGCGCCCACCAGCUCGCCGCCAAACGUGCCGACCCGGCCUGCAGAGGUACCGAAAAUUCCGGGCUGAACGCAACCAACAGGGGACUUUGCAAUUCGAGGGUUCUUUAUUUUCAAACACCAGAUUGCACAAGUAGCCAAGGUGAAGCUGCGGCACGGCCCGUGAAAUGCAAAUGGGCCUUAUCAGUCGGCUGCGCUAUUGUGACCUAAAAAAAAGCAGAGUUACAGCGUUGCUAUGUGUCAGCUCAAGAGCCUGCAUAGCGCACGUGAGUGGGGUGCAACAGGAAGAAUUUGCAGGGCAGGAAGGCGGCACCUUCUGAUUGGUCGGCAUGCGUGUCUCCCACGGGUGCCAGAGUGGCUGCCAGCAUGCGUUGGCCCUCGCUGUUGUCCCGGCAGAACGCCUGCAGGACAUGCUCUGCAGCGGCUGCCUCCUUUGCAUCCGCCGCCCUCAAGGCCG